CACCAUGUUUUCAAGGUUCAUCUACAUUGUGGCAUGGAUCAGCACUUCUUUGCUUUUGAUGUUGGAAUCAUAUUCCACUGUAUGGAUAGAACACAUUCGGUUUAACACUCAUCCAUUGGUGGACCUUUUACUUUUGGAUCAUGGCUCUUUUCUACCUGACAACUUGAGAUCUGCCUACCGCAUUCCCAGCACGGUACAGGGUCCCCGGCACGUGGUUGGCAAGAGUCUUAAAGUCUACAUCAAAUAUCGGUGAGGGCGUGAAGCAAUGGGGUCUCUUGAACACUGAAGACAGAAACAGGCACCAGCACCAUCAUUUUGGGGAGAAAUUUGGCAUGAUCUUGUCAAGUUGAAGUGGUGUGUAUCUUUCUGAAUGAUUUAGUGAUUCUAUCCCUACAUAGGGUCCAAAGAGAAACUUGGGCACAUGUGCUCAAAUUGGUGACAUGUUCAAAAAUGUUCACUGCAAAUAUUCACCUAGUUGGGCAGGUGUGGCAGCUCACACCUGUAAUCCCCACACUUUGGGAGGCUGAGGUGGGAGGAUUGCUUGAGCCCAGGAGCUGAGACCAGCCUGGGCAAUAUGGCAAGACCCUGUCUGCAGAAAAAUAAAAAAAAUUAGCCACGCAUGGUAGCA